rnacentral:rRNA from 1 species
UACGUAGGGGGCCAGCGUUGUCCGGAUUCAUUGGGCGUAAAGCGCGUGUAGGCGGCCGUACAGGUCCGGUGUGAAAACUCGAGGCUCAACCUCGAGAGGUCAUCGGAAACCGUACGGCUAGAGUCCGGAAGAGGAGAGUGGAAUUCCUGGUGUAGCAGUGAAAUGCGCAGAUAUCAGGAAGAACACCCAUGGCGAAGGCAGCUCUCUGGGACGGUACUGACGCUGAGACGCGAAAGCGUGGGGAGCGAACAGG